rnacentral:ncRNA from 2 species
CAGUGAGGUAGAGGUUGCGAUAUUUAACAGUCCUUGGCGGAGUUCGAGAAAGCGUUGAUGCCAGGGAGAAGGAAAUGUCGCCGAAGCUUGCAAUAUUUCUCGGUAUUGCAUUGCUGGGUCUGCAGUUAAGAGCUGCAGGACUGUCUCAAUAAAUGACCCGAUUUAUUGAGUUGUGCUAUCUCAUCU